rnacentral:tRNA from 1 species
GCGCUAGUGGUGUAGUGGUAUCAUGCAAGAUUCCCAUUCUUGCGACCCGGGUUCGAUUCCCGGCUAGCGCA